rnacentral:tRNA from 1 species
GGACGUGUGUCCGAAAGACAGGACUUACCUUGAUAGGGUAAUAUAUAGAGGUUCAAACCCCCUCACUUCCU